CCCCCGUGGUCAUAUUCAAGUGGGAGUGUUGUACCUGGAAGGACCUUUGGUUGGUUUGUUUGGAGAGUCUUUGCUGGUUUGAGGUCCUGGCAGUUUAUUGGCAGCGCCAUCCAAUAAGCUGUCACUACCUCGCCCAGCCCCGAGGCCCUCAGACCCCUCCUCCCUGGUGCAGGCAGAAGCGGGAGGCGGGAGCAGGAGGGGCCAUGCCAGUGUGCUGCAACCCCGUCGCCCCUCAUGCCCUGUCUGGCUGUGGCAGUUACCCCCACAUGCAGAGCAGCUCUCUGGAAUACCCUUCCCUGCCUGUCAGCUUGUAUUUGCCUGUCAGCCUGGAUCUGCUGUCUGCUGGUGGAGAUGGAGGUGAAGGAAUUAAAUGCAAUUUCAAAGCGUUGACAAAGUGUUUUCUUGUUCGUUGCGCUUUUGUUUUACAAAGGCCUGGUACCAUUUCAUUCUCAGUCUUUUGAAUGGAAAGGAAGCAUAGUCCUACUCCUUCACUGUAUGAUAAUGAACUACACACGUUAUAGGUAUUGGAUUGUUGUGGAAAGCAGGGCUAAGAAUACGAGCAUGAAGAUAAUUAGAGCCUUUGUAGAUCAACUGGAACACUGAGCAGUCCUAGAGAGCUGUAUAAACACAAACAAACCUCGAUGCGUUCACAAGCAAAUGACUUCUCUUUACAAUGUUGUCUUAGGUUCAGCAUUCAAUGUCUAAUUUAGCCAAACAAGAACCAAGGUUCUUUCUAUUUGGGUGUAGAUUAUAAAUCAGUAGUCUUGUGAAUUUCAAUGGAAUUAUAAAUAGAAAUGCCAUUUUUGUCUCCUUUCAAUUCAUUUCUGUCUCAGUCUAUAUGUCUAAAUGUUCCUUACAUCACACUCAGGUUUGGUACAGCCAUAGUAUCAUGCCAAUGAAGACAGACAGGCAUACACUCCCCUCCGUAUUUAUUUUGAUGGUGA